rnacentral:rRNA from 1 species
UACAGAGGUGGCAAGCGUUGUUCGGAAUUACUGGGCGUAAAGGGCGCGUAGGCGGCCAUCUAAGUCAGACGUGAAAUCCCCCGGCUUAACCUGGGAACUGCGUCUGAUACUGGAAGGCUUGAGUAUGGGAGAGGGAUGUAGAAUUCCAGGUGUAGCGGUGAAAUGCGUAGAGAUCAGGAGGAACACCGAUGGCGAAGGCAGGUCUCUGGGCUGACACUGACGCUCAUGCACGAAAGCGUGGGGAGCAAACAGG